CAGAUCCGGCGACGCAAUUUGGUGGAAAAGGAUCUGAUUCCCGGGACGGAAACUUAGCACUCAAGUGGGAGCUUAGGUAUCUAUGCACACCGAGGGGCAUCAAAGGAGAACUUCACCAGUGAGGGGAGGAAAGUACUUAAUUAUUAAACUUUUAAACAAAUGUGUGGUGUGUAGCCAGUCGUGAGGCAAUGUAAACACGGAGCCUGAUAAAUGCUUCCACCAACAGAGACGUGCAAAAUAGGUGUACCUCAUUUUGUGAUGCUGCUGCUGCUUCUGUUUGUUUAGAAGGAAAAGGUUACGAGCGGUAUUUUGUAGAAGUGGAGCGCGGUUUCCUGACAGACGAACGCGCAGGGAACGGGCUGCUGCGGGAAAUCCUGCCGCGGCCUCGGGAGCGCCGGGCGGCCCGGCUCGGCGGACGGGGAUGGACGCACAAAUGGACGGAUGGGUGGAUGAGCGUUGCCAGCGAGCAGUGAUGUCGACAAUAAUUAUGUAGAUACGGGCUCUGGUACUACAAAAUCUAUAAUGAAGGGCAUCUAAUUUUAAUGGAACAGGAUUGGGCCCACAAUCCCUGAUUCUCUUUUAAACAUCAGCCUAAACAUGAAAUUUUUGAAGUGGAAAAG
rnacentral:lncRNA from 1 species